AAAGUCGUAACAAGGUUUCCGUAGGUGAACCUGCGGAAGGAUCAUUAACGUGGGGCCCCGGCCCCGCCGAGAUAGAACCCUUGCCUUUUCGAGUACCACGCGUUUCCUCGGCAGGCCCGCCUGCCAACGGGGACCCAAACACAAACCCUUGAACAACCCGUAACCGUCUGAGAAAACAAAACAAAAAUCAAAACUUUCAACAACGGAUCUCUUGGUUCUG
rnacentral:misc_RNA from 1 species